rnacentral:rRNA from 1 species
GACGAACGCUGGCGGCGUGCUUAACACAUGCAAGUCGAACGGAAAGGCCCUGCUUGCAGGGUACUCGAGUGGCGAACGGGUGAGUAACACGUGGGUGAUCUGCCCUGCACUUCGGGAUAAGCCUGGGAAACUGGGUCUAAUACCGGAUAGGAGCCAUUUUUAGUGUGAUGGUUGGAAAGUUUUGUCGGUGUAGGAUGAGCUCGCGGCCUAUCAGCUUGUUGGUGGGGUAAUGGCCUACCAAGGCGGCGACGGGUAGCCGGCCUGAGAGGGUGGACGGCCACAUUGGGUCUGAGAUACGGCCCAGACUCCUACGGGAGGCAGAAGUGGGGAAUAUUGCACAAUGGGCGCCAGCCUGAUGCAGCGACGCCGCGUGGGGGAUGACGGCCUUCGGGUUGUAAACUCCUUUCGCUAGGGACGAAGCUUUUUGUGACGGUACCUAGAUAAGAAGCACCGGCUAACUACGUG